AGCGAACGCUGGCGGCAGGCUUAACACAUGCAAGUCGAACGCCAUCUUCGGAUGGAGUGGCAGACGGGUGAGUAACGCGUGGGAACGUACCUUUUGGUUCGGAAUAUUCUCGGGAAACUGAGAGCAAUACCGAAUAAGCCCUUAGGGGGAAAGAUUUAUUGCCAAAAGAUCGGCCCGCGUUAGAUUAGGUAGUUGGUAGGGUAAUGGCCUACCAAGCCUACGAUCUAUAGCUGGUCUGAGAGGAUGAUCGGCCACAUUGGGACUGAGACACGGCCCAAACUCCUACGGGAGGCAGCAGUGGGGAAUAUUGGACAAUGGGCGCAAGCCUGAUCCAGCCAUGCCGCGUGAAUGAUGAAGGCCUUAGGGUUGUAAAAUUCUUUCAACGGGGACGAUGAUGACGGUACCCGUAGAAGAAGCCCCGGCUAACUUCGUGCCAGCCGCCGCGGUAA
rnacentral:rRNA from 1 species